rnacentral:rRNA from 1 species
CCAGACUCCUACGGGAGGCAGCAGUAGGGAAUCUUCGGCAAUGGACGAAAGUCUGACCGAGCAACGCCGCGUGAGUGAAGAAGGUUUUCGGAUCGUAAGACUCUGUUGGUAGAGAAGAACGUUGGUGAGAGUGGAAAGCUCAUCAAGUGACGGUAACUACCCAGAAAGGGACGGCUAACUACGUGCCAGCAGCCGCGGUAAUACGUAGGUCCCGAGCGUUGUCCGGAUUUAUUGGGCGUAAAGCGAGCGCAGGUGGUUUAUUAAGUCUGGUGUAAAAGGCAGUGGCUCAACCAUUGUAUGCAUUGGAAACUGGUAGACUUGAGUGCAGGAGAGGAGAGUGGAAUUCCAUGUGUAGCGGUGAAGUGCGUAGAUAUAUGGAGGAACACCGGUGGCGAAAGCGGCUCUCUGGCCUGUAACUGACACUGAGGCUCGAAAGCGUGGGGAGCAAACAGGAUUAGAUACCCUGGUGGUCCACGCCGUAAACGAUGAGUGCUAGAUGUAGGGAGCUAUAAGUUCUCUGUAUCGCAGCUAACGCAAUAAGCACUCCGCCUGGGGAGUACGACCGCAAGGUUGAAACUCAAAGGAAUUGACGGAGGCCCGCACAAG